UGAUGAGCGGCUGAAGGACUCAUUCAACAGGGCAACUAAUGAACUAUCUAAAAUCACUUAAGCAUGAGCAGAAGACCGCCUAAUGGACAAACCUGGGAGCGAAUCAUUACAAUCACAUGAAACUUCUGCAUCUGAGUGGUUCCAGGAUGAGCUUGAAGAUGAAUCUACAAGAGGAAAGUGUUGCAUGUUU